rnacentral:lncRNA from 1 species
UUAUCUGUUAUGAGCCAAAUCAAUUUGCUGUUUUGCUGUUAUUGGGACCCCCCUUGCCCCCCUCUCCAAAGGAUCCAACAUUAGAUGAAGUUUGAUUUUAACAAAAAUGAAUUAUUUGGGUUCUAAUAUGAUAUCUGAUGAGUCUCUGAACAUGUAUUUAUGUUAUGAUUUUGAACCCAGUUUUUAAUUUGUCAAAAAGAGUCAUAUUUUCAAAUCUAAG